GAUGAACGCUGGCGGCGUGCCUAAUACAUGCAAGUCGAGCGAACGGACGAGAAGCUUGCUUCUCUGAUGUUAGCGGCGGACGGGUGAGUAACACGUGGAUAACCUACCUAUAAGACUGGGAUAACUUCGGGAAACCGGAGCUAAUACCGGAUAAUAUUUUGAACCGCAUGGUUCAAAAGUGAAAGACGGUCUUGCUGUCACUUAUAGAUGGAUCCGCGCUGCAUUAGCUAGUUGGUAAGGUAACGGCUUACCAAGGCAACGAUGCAUAGCCGACCUGAGAGGGUGAUCGGCCACACUGGAACUGAGACACGGUCCAGACUCCUACGGGAGGCAGCAGUAGGGAAUCUUCCGCAAUGGGCGAAAGCCUGACGGAGCAACGCCGCGUGAGUGAUGAAGGUCUUCGGAUCGUAAAACUCUGUUAUUAGGGAAGAACAUAUGUGUAAGUAACUGUGCACAUCUUGACGGUACCUAAUCAGAAAGCCCCGGCUAACUACGU
rnacentral:rRNA from 1 species